rnacentral:rRNA from 1 species
GGUUAAGCGACUAAGCGUACACGGUGGAUGCCCUGGCAGUCAGAGGCGAUGAAGGACGUGCUAAUCUGCGAAAAGCGUCGGUAAGGUGAUAUGAACCGUUAUAACCGGCGAUGUCCGAAUGGGGAAACCCAGUGCAAUUCGUUGCACUAUCGUUAACUGAAUACAUAGGUUAACGAGGCGAACCGGGGGAACUGAAACAUCUAAGUACCCCGAGGAAAAGAAAUCAACCGAGAUUCCCCCAGUAGCGGCGAGCGAACGGGGAGCAGCCCAGAGUCUGAAUCAGCUUGUGUGUUAGUGGAACGGUCUGGAAAGUCCGACGGUACAGGGUGAUAGUCCCGUACACCAAAAUGCACAGGUUGUGAACUCGAAGAGUAGGGCGGGACACGUGGUAUCCUGUCUGAAUAUGGGGGACCAUCCUCCAAGGCUAAAUACUCCUGACUGACCGAUAGUGAACCAGUACCGUGAGGGAAAGGCGAAAAGAACCCCGGCGAGGGGAGUGAAAAAGAACCUGAAACCGUGUACGUACAAGCAGUGGGAGCACCUUCGGGUGUGACUGCGUACCUUUUGUAUAAUGGGUCAGCGACUUAUAUUCUGUAGCAAGGUUAACCGUAUAGGGGAGCCGCAGGGAAACCGAGUCUUAACUGGGCGUUAAGUUGCAGGGUAUAGACCCGAAACCCGGUGAUCUAGCCAUGGGCAGGUUGAAGGUUGGGUAACACUAACUGGAGGACCGAACCGACUAAUGUUGAAAAAUUAGCGGAUGACUUGUGGCUGGGGGUGAAAGGCCAAUCAAACCGGGAGAUAGCUGGUUCUCCCCGAAAGCUAUUUAGGUAGCGCCUCGUGAACUCAUCUUCGGGGGUAGAGCACUGUUUCGGCUAGGGGGUCAUCCCGACUUACCAACCCGAUGCAAACUACGAAUACCGAAGAAUGUUAUCACGGGAGACACACGGCGGGUGCUAACGUCCGUCGUGAAGAGGGAAACAACCCAGACCGCCAGCUAAGGUCCCAAAGUCAUGGUUAAGUGGGAAACGAUGUGGGAAGGCACAGACAGCCAGGAUGUUGGCUUAGAAGCAGCCAUCAUUUAAAGAAAGCGUAAUAGCUCACUGGUCGAGUCGGCCUGCGCGGAAGAUGUAACGGGGCUAAACCAUGCACCGAAGCUGCGGCAGCGACACUAUGUGUUGUUGGGUAGGGGAGCGUUCUGUAAGCCUGCGAAGGUGACCUGUGAGGGUUGCUGGAGGUAUCAGAAGUGCGAAUGCUGACAUAAGUAACGAUAAAGCGGGUGAAAAGCCCGCUCGCCGGAAGACCAAGGGUUCCUGUCCAACGUUAAUCGGGGCAGGGUGAGUCGACCCCUAAGGCGAGGCCGAAAGGCGUAGUCGAUGGGAAACAGGUUAAUAUUCCUGUACUUAGUGUUACUGCGAAGGGGGGACGGAGAAGGCUAUGUUAGCCGGGCGACGGUUGUCCCGGUUUAAGCAUGUAGGCUGGUUGUCCAGGCAAAUCCGGAUAAUCAAGGCUGAGGUGUGAUGACGAGGCACUACGGUGCUGAAGUAACAAAUGCCCUGCUUCCAGGAAAAGCCUCUAAGCAUCAGGUAACAUCAAAUCGUACCCCAAACCGACACAGGUGGUCAGGUAGAGAAUACCAAGGCGCUUGAGAGAACUCGGGUGAAGGAACUAGGCAAAAUGGUGCCGUAACUUCGGGAGAAGGCACGCUGGUGUGUAGGUGAAGUCCCUGCGGAUGGAGCUGAGACCAGUCGAAGAUACCAGCUGGCUGCAACUGUUUAUUAAAAACACAGCACUGUGCAAACACGAAAGUGGACGUAUACGGUGUGACGCCUGCCCGGUGCCGGAAGGUUAAUUGAUGGGGUUAUCCGUAAGGAGAAGCUCUUGAUCGAAGCCCCGGUAAACGGCGGCCGUAACUAUAACGGUCCUAAGGUAGCGAAAUUCCUUGUCGGGUAAGUUCCGACCUGCACGAAUGGCGUAAUGAUGGCCAGGCUGUCUCCACCCGAGACUCAGUGAAAUUGAACUCGCUGUGAAGAUGCAGUGUACCCGCGGCAAGACGGAAAGACCCCGUGAACCUUUACUAUAGCUUGACACUGAACAUUGAGCCUUGAUGUGUAGGAUAGGUGGGAGGCUUUGAAGCGUGGACGCCAGUCUGCGUGGAGCCAACCUUGAAAUACCACCCUUUAAUGUUUGAUGUUCUAACGUUGGCCCCUGACCGGGGUUGCGGACAGUGUCUGGUGGGUAGUUUGACUGGGGCGGUCUCCUCCCAAAGCGUAACGGAGGAGCACGAAGGUUAGCUAAUCCUGGUCGGACAUCAGGAGGUUAGUGCAAUGGCAUAAGCUAGCUUGACUGCGAGCGUGACGGCGCGAGCAGGUGCGAAAGCAGGUCAUAGUGAUCCGGUGGUUCUGAAUGGAAGGGCCAUCGCUCAACGGAUAAAAGGUACUCCGGGGAUAACAGGCUGAUACCGCCCAAGAGUUCAUAUCGACGGCGGUGUUUGGCACCUCGAUGUCGGCUCAUCACAUCCUGGGGCUGAAGUAGGUCCCAAGGGUAUGGCUGUUCGCCAUUUAAAGUGGUACGCGAGCUGGGUUUAGAACGUCGUGAGACAGUUCGGUCCCUAUCUGCCGUGGGCGCUGGAGAAUUGAGGGGGCUGCUCCUAGUACGAGAGGACCGGAGUGGACGCAUCACUGGUGUUCGGGUUGUCAUGCCAAUGGCACUGCCCGGUAGCUAAAUGCGGAAGAGAUAAGUGCUGAAAGCAUCUAAGCACGAAACUUGCCCCGAGAUGAGUUCUCCCUGAGACUUUAAGUCUCCUGAAGGAACGUUAAAGACGAUGACGUUGAUAGGCCGGGUGUGUAAGCGCAGCGAUGCGUUGAGCUAACCGGUACUAAUGAACCGUGAGGCUUAACCUU